rnacentral:rRNA from 1 species
GACGGAGGAUGCAAGCGUUAUCCGGAAUGAUUGGGCGUAAAGCGUCCGCAGGUGGCAGUUCAAGUCUGCUGUCAAAGACCGGGGCUUAACUUCGGAAAGGCAGUGGAAACUGAACAGCUAGAGUAUGGUAGGGGCAGAGGGAAUUCCUGGUGUAGCGGUGAAAUGCGUAGAGAUCAGGAAGAACAUCGGUGGCGAAGGCGCUCUGCUGGACCAUAACUGACACUCAGCGACGAAAGCUAGGGGAGCGAAUGGG